GUGCUCACAAGGACAUUCAUCCUGCCACGUGGCUGAGAUGGUCCUGGGAAAACGUGAGCGAGAUGAGAAGUAUUGACUUGGGAGUGUCCCCCUGGAGCCCCGCGGGACGCUACGGUUUUCAAUACAACA
ensembl:scaRNA